ACAACCACCAGCGACAUCAAUCUCUCGCUUCCUGCUCCACUUCUCGGCGCCCACAUCUCCAACUGGCUCAGGCUCCCCAUGUCCCCAGCCGGUACGGAGCUGCGGUCAGCGGAUUGUGCGGCUGAGCCAUCCUCGUGACGGUCCCGCCUCACUCACCCUCCGUCACCUCCAGCACCUUAAUCUGUUCUUCAGCAGCCGCCCGCACCUCCUGUACUGGGGAUAGGAUCCCGGUGAGCGUAUCCACUAACGCUUCCUUUAAUCCUUGUGCCACUGGACCCGGCAGCCCGGAGGCCGCACCAGCUGCCGCCGCCGCCGCCAUCUUUUCUCCCCUCAGCCCGCCAGCCCCGCGGCCGGGACCCGCCACCGAAUGACGGCCCCCGCGCGCGGCCAAUCCGCGAAGCCGCGCCUGCGCACCAGAGGCGGGCGGGAGCGGGCGGAGGGCGGGGAAUGAAUCUAAGCCUCCAGAGACAGCGCCUCCUGCUGCCUGAACGAGAACUGCACCUUUCUCUGCAAGGAUCUCUGGAUUUGUGUGAAAACUGAGCCCCAGACAGGUUAAGGGGCUUUCCUAAAGUUGCACAGUAAGUUAGCAAUCUCAUUUGGAAUAAAGUUCAUGAUAUAUGACUUUAUAUUCAUGCAUCUUUCAGGUGUUAGGAGAGAGGAGGCGGGAUGGGAAUAGAUGUAGAGGGCUUUAAGGAGAGAGGUCUGGGUCACAAAUAGCCCCUAUUUUAAACCACAUUCUUUUCCCCCCAAACACUGAAAAAAAGUUGGCUCAAGUGACUCUCUUCAUCUUAGCCUCAGGAAUCCAAAGAGGGGGGAAAAUAAACUAAAGCAAACUGGGAAGUGGAAGUGGGAAAACCACGGCCCAGUCCCUUGGUUUUCCAGCCUAGAUGAGCCCAACCUCAAAGCUGGGAAGUGGCUGGGCAGGGGAGACACCGGCAUGUGAAAGGGAGUUUCUUCCAGAGUGAGUGUUGUAUGUGACUAUUUGAGAAUGAAUCCUAUUUGUUGAAAAUGUAUAAAUUUUUUUCCCUGAGAAAUUAUGGCUGG
rnacentral:lncRNA from 1 species